rnacentral:piRNA from 1 species
UGAGCAACUUAGAGGAGACCCUGU